GACGAACCGUACGAACGUUAUUCGGAAUCACUGGGCUUAAAGGGUGCGUAGGCUGCGCGGAAAGUUGGGUGUGAAAUCCCUCGGCUCAACCGAGGAACUGCGCCCAAAACUGCCGUGCUCGAGGGAGACAGAGGUGAGCGGAACUUAGGGUGGAGCGGUGAAAUGCGUUGAUAUCCUAAGGAACACCGGUGGCGAAAGCGGCUCACUGGGUCUCUUCUGACGCUGAGGCACGGAAAGCUAGGGUAGCGAACGGG
rnacentral:rRNA from 1 species